ACCCACCAUUCGUCAUUAUGUAUUUGCACAGUGCAGAAGGCAGAGUCAAGUCAGUGGAAAAUUGUAAAAAAGAUAGCCCCGUUUACAAAGUAGUAGCAAUUAAAUAGUGCAUUAAAAUCUAAUAAGUAGUAAUGCAGAUAGUAUAAAUCUAAAUAAUAAUACCGAUUAGAUAAUAAUGAAAUAAACGCCAAUCCGAAAACCCAGAAUAAUAAAAACUAAGCGUGAGAACAGAAAAAUAAAAAGAUAACUACGAAGAACGGAUCGCCAGUGGACGUGACCUUGUUUGGCAGGAGAAGAAGGACGAAAUUCUGAGGGAAGGACCCUUUCCACAUGACCCCAGCAUUUGCUCUGCUCGUGAAUGUCGGACCGCAGUGGGGGCAGGGAUGCCGGAUUUUGAGAUGAAUGCGGUUCAGGUGGCGCACCAGGUUACAUCUUUGUGUCAAAAUUCUUGGAACACUGAGGGCAGGGGAUGUCUUUCAGCUCCCGGUUAACUGUGUUCUUGUUGGUGACGUGACUUUGUUUUUCAGUGAAAGCUUGGUCGCAUUCGUCGCAUCUGAAAAGUUUUUCCUUCGUGUGAGGCACCAAGUGAGAAUUAUAGCUGGAAUUCUGUGGGGAGACUUUCUAGGGGCAAGACAGACACACUUGACUCCAACCUUGGUCAACUAGUGCGGCUUUCUCGUCAUCGUUGAGAUAGGUGAAAUGAUGAUCGGUCAGAGCUGCUUUGGAGGAGAACGUUUUUCGACAAACGUGGCAUCUUCCGCCCACUUUGUCCAUGAUUUCGCCCAAAAGAUAAGUCAGACCAGAUGGGCUUUUGAACCGGUUGUUGCAGAAGAAGGAGUCGUGUCGCCAGCCCUCUUUCACCUCCGCUUGCUCCGCUGGGCUCAAAUGGACGAAGAGAUGACCGGUCAAGUGUGCUUGCUGGAUGAAUUUUUGUUCGCAAACGGGGCAGUCGUGGGUCUUCCUAAGUACGUUCGUGUGGAUUGACGUGGUCGGUAAAGAGUUGACAGUUGAAGAAUACUUUAGUCACAUCGCAUGGAAAGUGCAGGCCCGCUCCAGCGAUUUGAGGCGGACCCAAUGAUGAGAAUUUAAAAGUGGGUGCAGCACCAACGCGCGUCCUUAUUCGACCCAGCCUUCGCUCCUGACAGAAACACUCGCCACCUUUACCUCCUCAAGCAUCGUGGCGUCCAUUAUCCAUUAUCCAUUGUCCAUUAUCUCACUGAUCUUUUGCUGAGUCCAACCUUGAGCAAUCUAUGGCUGAAUUUGAAAACCUGAAAUGUAGGAUUCGACAAGGAAGGAUUUUUUACUCUCGAACACACGCCUCACUCCCAAAUUUUAAGAACGAUGAUAAAGAGACCAGACAAUGUUACUAGUGGAAACUGACCGGCAGAAAGGGCAGUCAUCGUGGUCGUCGCGUCGUGGAUAAAAUCUACCCAUGCAAAAUACGCCUCCGUCCCUUCACCAACAAAACCAGUCCUCACCUCCACGCCCACACCCACCUCAACAGCGACGAAUUGAAGCAGACUUCAAUUUCCCAUCCGCAGUGUCCCCACUGCCAAAAACUUUUCCUCAAUCGUCAGCACUUUCUCGACCACAUCAAUCCCCACGAAGGUCGGAAGAGUCAUUAUUUACAAAAAGAAGUUUUCCCAGAAAACAAGUCUGAUCCACUAUCACUUCGUCAAUUUGAACCUAGGGGAGCAAGCGGAGGAUGAAGCAGGGAUGGCGAUGCGACCGCUCCUUCUGCAAAAAACGAUCCAAAAGUCCAUCUAGUCUCACUUAUCUUGUGGGCCAAACCAUGGAGAAAGUGGACAGGAGAGGCCACCUUUCUCGAAGAACUUCUCCCCAAACAAGUCCGAACCAAUCAUUGUUCCAUCCGUCUCUGCGAAGAUGAAAGAGCCGCACGGGUUGAGCAGGAUUUGGGCCAAGUCUGCCUAUUUUGUCACAAGAUAUUCGCCAACAACCCCACUUAUCGGUCUCACCUGGUCGCCCACACGCAGGAAAAUCCUUUCAAAUGCGACGAAUAUGACGAAGCCUUCACUAAAAACAGUCUCUCGUCACCCACAAGAAAACUGUUCAUCGGAUGCUGAAAGACAUCCCUUUGCCCCCAGUGCUCCAAGAAGGUUGGCACGAAGAGUGACAUGAUGCCACGCCUGAACAGUUUUCGUCACAAAAUCCGGCAUCACUCCCCCCAUUGCAAACUGACAUCCACGGGCAAAUCAAGUAGGUGGGGUCAUGUCUGGAGGGUUGAUCCCUCAGAAUCUCGUCCUCCUUAUCCGGCCGAACAACGUCGCAUCAACUGGGGAAAUGUUUUUCACACCUUAUACUUUUAUUUUUCUGGUUUCAAUCUUAUUGUUUACUGUUGUGAAUUUUUUGGUUGGCUGUUAUUUCAUUAUUGUUUAGUUGAUAGUAUUAUUGAGAUUUGUAUUAUUUGUAUUGUUACUCAUUCGAUUUUAAUUCAUUGUUUUAUCGAUGUUGUUUUGAGAAGCUCGUUAUGUUUUUACCAUUUUCCAUUUGACUCUGCCUUCUGCAUUAUGCGAAUAAAUAUAAUAACAAAUAA